UACUGUGCUAUUUCUGCUUGUCAAUGCCCAAUCUCACCAGAUCUGAGAGGCUAAGCAGGGCUGGGCCUGGUUACUACUUGGAUGGAAGACCACAGGUAAUACCAGGUGCCACAAUGG
rnacentral:rRNA from 1 species